CAGGCCUUGACAUCCAAUGAACUUUCCAGAGAUGGAUUGGUGCCUUCGGGAACAUUGAGACAGGUGCUGCAUGGCUGUCGUCAGCUCGUGUCGUGAGAUGUUGGGUUAAGUCCCGUAACGAGCGCAACCCUUGUCCUUAGUUACCAGCACGUUAUGGUGGGGACUCNUGAGAGACUGCCGGGGUCAACUCGGAGGAAGGUGGGGAUGACGUCAAGUCAUCAUGCCCCUUAUGUCCAGGGCUUCACACAUGCUACAAUGGCCGGUACAAAGGGCUGCNAUGCCGUGAGGUGGAGCNAAUCCUUUCAAAGCCGGUCUCAGUUCGGAUCGGGGUCUGCAACUCGNCCCCGUGAAGUCGGAGUCGNUAGUAAUCGCANAUCANCANCGCUGCGGUGAAUACGUU
rnacentral:rRNA from 1 species